rnacentral:rRNA from 1 species
CCUACGGGAGGCUGCAGUGGGGAAUAUUGGGCAAUGGGCGCAAGCCUGACCCAGCAACGCCGCGUGAAGGAAGAAGGCUUUCGGGUUGUAAACUUCUUUUAAGAGGGAAGAGCAGAAGACGGUACCCUGAAAACAAGCCACGGCUAACUACGUGCCAGCAGCCGCGGUAAUACGUAGGUGGCAAGCGUUGUCCGGAUUUACUGGGUGUAAAGGGCGUGUAGCCGGGAAGGCAAGUCAGAUGUGAAAUCUGGAGGCUCAACCUCCAAAUUGCAUUUGAAACUGUUUUUCUCGAGUACUGGAGAGGCAGACGGAAUUCCUUGUGUAGCGGUGAAAUGCGUAGAUAUAAGGAGGAACACCAGUGGCGAAGGCGGUCUGCUGGACAGCAACUGACGGUGAGGCGCGAAAGCGUGGGGAGCAAACAGGAUUAGAUACCCUAGUAGUC